UACGAAGGGGGCUAGCGUUGCUCGGAAUCACUGGGCGUAAAGGGUGCGUAGGCGGGCCUUUAAGUCAGGGGUGAAAUCCUGGAGCUCAACUCCAGAACUGCCUUUGAUACUGAGGAUCUUGAGUCCGGGAGAGGUGAGUGGAACUGCGAGUGUAGAGGUGAAAUUCGUAGAUAUUCGCAAGAACACCAGUGGCGAAGGCGGCUCACUGGCCCGGUACUGACGCUGAGGAGCGAAAGCGUGGGGAGCGAACAGG
rnacentral:rRNA from 1 species